rnacentral:rRNA from 1 species
UCGGGAGGCAGCAGUGGGGAAUAUUGCACAAUGGGCGAAAGCCUGAUGCAGCUAUGCCGCGUGUAUGAAGAAGGCCUUAGGGUUGUAAAGUACUUUCAUCGGGGAGGAAAAACAAAACUAAUAAUUUUAUUUCUUGACGUUACCCGAAAAAGAAGCACCGGCUAACUCCGUGCCAGCAGCCGCGGUAAUACGGAGGGUGCUAGCGUUAAUCAGAAUUACUGGGCGUAAAGAGCACGUAGGUGGUUUUUUUAAGUCAGAUGUGAAAUCCCUGGGCUUAACCUAGGAACUGCAUUUUGAAACUGAAAUACUAGAGUAUCGUAGAGGGAGGUAGAAUUCUAGGUGUAGCGGUGAAAUGCGUAGAUAUCUGGAGGAAUACCUGUGGCGAAAGCGGCCUCCUAAACGAAUACUGACACUGAGGUGCGAAAGCGUGGGGAGCAAACAGGGAUUAGAUACC